GAUGAACGCUGGCGGCGUGCCUAAUACAUGCAAGUCGAGCGAACAGAUGAGAAGCUUGCUUCUCUGAUGUUAGCGGCGGACGGGUGAGUAACACGUGGGUAACCUACCUAUAAGACUGGGAUAACUCCGGGAAACCGGGGCUAAUACCGGAUAAUAUUUUGAACCGCAUGGUUCAAUAGUGAAAGACGGUUUCGGCUGUCACUUAUAGAUGGACCCGCGCCGUAUUAGCUAGUUGGUAAGGUAACGGCUUACCAAGGCGACGAUACGUAGCCGACCUGAGAGGGUGAUCGGCCACACUGGAACUGAGACACGGUCCAGACUCCUACGGGAGGCAGCGGUAGGGAAUCUUCCGCAAUGGGCGAAAGCCUGACGGAGCAACGCCGCGUGAGUGAUGAAGGUCUUCGAAUCGUAAAACUCUGUUGUUAGGGAAGAACAAAUUUGUUAGUAACUGAACAAGUCUUGACGGUGCCUAACCAGAAAGCCACGGCUAACUACGUGCCAGCCGCCGCGGUAA
rnacentral:rRNA from 1 species